UCUUUUACUCCGUUUCGACUUUCGAGAGAGAUCUUAACGAAGAGAGAGAAAUCAGAGGACUCCGCAACUUCAACAAGAAUUCGAGGUCCCAGAAAAAGUCUUGUUAAAACAUUAGAGACAUCAUAGAAUAUUGCUACACAGUUACGGGAUUAAAGUCAGCAUAGUGGAAUUUGCUGUGCCCUGGUUGAUGGUUUAUGUCAUACUCUCGGAGAUCAAGGUAUUCUCUUUCUCCUUCACCUUACAGGCGAUACGAUAGGUCGGUUUCAAGGUCCUUGUCAAGGAGCCGAUCAAGAAGUCGUGAUUCAAGUGAUGCUGAGAAUCCUGGAAACAACUUGUAUGUCACGGGGCUUUCUACCCGAGUCACAAAGAGAGAUCUUGAAAAGCAUUUUUCAACUGAGGGCACGGUAGAAGAUGUCCACCUUGUUAUCGAUCCAUGGUCUCGAGAAUCCCGUGGAUUUGGUUUUGUGACUAUGGCUUCUGUUAAGGAGGCUGAUAGAUGCAUCAAGUAUUUGAACCAUUCUGUGCUUGAGGGCAGGGUUAUAACUAUUGAGAAGGUAAUCUGCCAUCCCCUUUAUCUUCUGAGUUGUGCUUAUUGCAUCUUUAUUUUCAGAUUAUUGUACCGUACCGUUAAUAUCAUGGACUUCCUUUGUUAUCGAGUUUGAAAGUUCUAUGCUUCUCUUCCAUGAAGUUUCUUUGCAAGCAGGUUAGCUGUGUGUAGCAGCUCUUCGUCAAAGUCCAAAUUAACAAAUCAAACCAAUCACAUGAAGCAAAUAUCAGACUCUUAACCAGAGGGUUGUAUGCCCUGCAUUUCUUUUUUUAUAUCGCAAUUUACUUAUUAUGUUAUUUGGUAGUUGUUCAAAUCUUAGGCAAGUCUUGUCCUUGAAUAUUGCUCUUAACCAAAUAAGUAGUUCCCCCCGUCUGGGAUAAACCUUUUAUUUAUGUGAUUUUCAUGACCUUAUUCCUUGUCUACACAUGUUCAGGCCAGGAGACGAAGGGGUAGAACACCUACACCAGGGAGGUACCUUGGUCUGAGAACUAUUCAUGGUUGUUCUCGAAGCAGUAGCCGUUCACCUCGGUAUUCAUCUGAGACAUAUAGCAGGAGCAGAAGCAAAAGCAGAUCUUACUCUCCUUACUAUGGUCGUCGGUAUUCAUCUGGAAGGAGCAGAAGCAGAUCAUACUCUCCUUACUACAGUCGGCGCAGAUCAUAUUCUCCAUACUAUGCCUACUACAGACGCAAGACGUACUCCCGGCUACGUUCCCCAUGUGGCAGGUCACCAGUAAGCAGGCGUGAUCGAUCUUAUUCCCCCUAUCAUAGAGAUUAUUCACCUGAUGAUCGUUACCGAAGAAGAAGUCUAUACCGUUCCAUUUCACGAAGCAUUUCUCCCAGGUACCGGCGAUAUUCAAGGAGAAGUUAUUCGCGCAGCGUCUCGCCAAGGUAUCCAAGGCAUUCGAGGAGGAGCUAUUCUUGGAGUCUCUCUCCACUGCCUAGGAAGAGCUCAAGGCGGAGCUUCUCGCGUAGCCUUUCACCCAGGCGAAGGAAAAGGUGGAGGAGGAGAGUUUCUCGGGAUAGCUAUUCUUCAAGGAGCUCUUCAAGAAGUUGUAGUGCAUCUUCUAGAUCUGUUUCAAGAUCUGUUACUCCUACAUCUGAUUGACCUCCUUGUGUGUGGUUUCCCUUUUUUAGUGACAAGCAACUGUGAAGAGUCGAUUUGAUGGUUUGCGUUGACUUGUUUUAAGCUGCUGUUCGACUCUCUAUAUUUUAGUUUCUAUGUGCGACUGUUCCCAGGUUUUGGUCCCUUUUUUUGGCAAUUGUGGCCAUUUUAGGCAUUGAGUUUAAGCUUUUUUUUUUUCUUUUUUUUUGUUUAUUCCCCGUGUACGUUAUCGUUACUAUGGUCUGGGGUUAUGUGGCAUAGAUCCAAGACUUCGGUGAGUUGGUUUAUUGUUAAUAGACGGGUUGAAGUCUGAGGCAGCUACCCUAAACUAGGAAUGGAGUCGUGUUGAAAGCAUGGGAGCGCGUCAUUUCGUUUCUUAGCUGGAAAGUCCAAGUCCACAAACCGAAUAGAAGAUUCUUUCAGGAACUUUCGAGUCUACAUGUUCAUACAUGCCCGAAGGAUCAGGCGCUUCUCUCUUGUAGUGGUGUAUUUUUUUUUUGGGUCUAACCACCCGGUAUCCCUUUCGGACUAAUCCGGAUUCAGCCCGGGGAGCGCUCGCAGAGUUUGACUCUUACUCGAGGGUGAAGGCCUGGCCCUGGAGUUAUUGCAGGAGCGCAGCGAGAAUCGAACCUUGGUCGUCCUGCUCGCAUUACCAGCCGCUUAUCACUGGCCCCAACUCCUCGGAUUUAGUGGUGUAUUUUCACAUAGCUCUUAUAAGCAUUUAUAUUUGAGAGGGCAAAAGUUGGAUUUCUCAAUGUAAUUAUUAGCCUGUUUGGAAGGUCAGUGUUUUGGAUGUUUGUUUAAAAUUUUACUGUAGAUUAUUAUAGAAGUUAUAAGAAAAAUUUUUAGGUUGAAA